CGUCAGGCCUGUGCAGAGGAGCUGGGGAUGUGGGGGUGCCAGGCGUGGGGCCCGUAUGGGGGUAUGGGCCUGCAGGUGUCCGGCCGGGGGCCUGCUGCAGGUUAAGGAUGCUGUCGAUGGCACUCUGCAAAUGCUCAGUUUCUCCUUGGCGAGCUGCUUAUCCAAGGCAAGGGUGGUCUUCUCCUCCUGAAUGAACAUUCGGUCGAUCAUAACCAUCUCUGCGGAAGGACUGACUCUCUGUGCUAAGAGACCGCACCACCCCGACAAGAACAGUUCACAGCAGGGGAGGGACCCCAGCAGCUUGAGACUCCUACCCUGGACUCUUCCAGAAGCAAAAGCCGAUAUUUAUUGAGCAUGGCCUGGAAUCCCUACUACAGUAGGCUUGGUUUCCCUAUCACACGACCACGUUUCCAUCAGACAAGCCUAGAAGAUCAGCCCUCUGGCACCAUGGGGCAGAUUUCCUGAUAUGUUUAUUUGCUGUGAUCUUGGAACCCACACAGUGAGUGCUUACAAACACUGUGGUGGGAGAAGAACAGGAGAACACCAUUUAUUUCUCCAAAACAGCUCAAAGGCCAGCCAUCUUGCUACCUAUUCAAUGAACAGAGGCCUAUAAAACGUCAAACUUGUGUGCACCUAACUCACAGGCCUGCCUGGACACGCCUGGAAUCUAUUCACACAUUCACUUUCUUCCCCACCACACCUGACAAGAACUGUAGAAUCAGUGACCCUGACAUUGAACUGUAGAAUCGGGGGGCCUGAUGUCAACAGCCUGCAAGGUCCCCUCACUGACUUCACUUCUAUCUUACCCUUGGCAGAAGGAAAACUGAGAUCAAAGGGGAAUCCACACACUGGUUGGAGCGGUGCUUUGAGGAGCGGUGGGAGUGGGGCAGAUAUGUUGGGGUAGGUAGCUGUACUCACCAGGCUUCUUUGCUGGGUUGCAGAAGGGGCUGUUUCUUCAGGCUACCCAACUUGCUGUCAUACUGUGGAAGGAGGAAAGACCAGUGACAGUGUUGCUAGGAAGAAGCCUCCUCAGCCUUCUCAGCCUACAUCCUCCCUCUAGCCAAGGACAUAGAUGGUAAAGGAAGCUGGCCCCAGCUACAGCGUCCCUGUCCAUCAAGAGAAACCUGGUGGGAAUGCCAGGUGUGAUGUUAUAUGCCUGCACCCUGGUUAGCCUUAAUUGUCAACCUCACAUUGCCUCGAGCCACCCAAGGGAAGCCUUCACUGAUGUCUGGCCUUUUGGGGAUUAUCUUGAUUAAUUGAGAGCCCAGCUUUUUGUGGAUGGCACCAUUCCUAGACAAGGUGGUCCUAAGCUUUGUAAGAAAGCUUACUGAUCAAACCAGUGAGCAGCAUUCCUCCAUGGUCUCUGCUUCAGUUCCGGCCCUGGCCUCCCUCAGUGACAGACUGAAUGUGUAAGCUAAAUAAACCCUUUCCUUCCCUA